AUAAAUUUGUGGAUUAAGAUGAUGUUUUGAUUUUCAGAAAUUAAAAUCGGAGAACAAUAUAGCAAUAAACAAAGUUCAAUGAAAUAAAGAUGGUAGGGAUCUGGAAUCCCCCUUGAUGAUAUUGCAUCCAAGAAAUAAACUCUAUGGUUCUUGAUUAAAAAUGAAUGGUAGGAUAGAUCUAAUCAUGGUAUAUGUUUUAUGAACAUAUGAACUCAAUUUCUAAGCAUUCGUCGUGCUUUCUACGUCUACGACGAAUCAAAUACUAAAGCAAUCCAUAUAUCAAUAAUCAUAAUCCAUUAAAGAGCUAUCUACGAAAUAACUAUGCAUGGAUCAAAAACAUAUCAGAAAAUAUAAUUCAUU
rnacentral:lncRNA from 1 species